UACGGGGGGGGGCAAGCGUUGUUCGGAAUUACUGGGCGUAAAGGGCGCGUAGGCGGCGUGGUAAGUCACUUGUGAAAUCUCUGAGCUUAACUCAGAACGGCCAAGUGAUACUGCUGUGCUAGAGUGCAGAAGGGGCAAUCGGAAUUCUUGGUGUAGCGGUGAAAUGCGUAGAUAUCAAGAGGAACACCUGAGGUGAAGACGGGUUGCUGGGCUGACACUGACGCUGAGGCGCGAAAGCCAGGGGAGCAAACAGG
rnacentral:rRNA from 1 species